CCGGCCCUGGCUGGAGGGGGCUGUGUGAGCUGUGGCCGCACAGUGUCCCAUGGUAGUUAGGGUGCCGUGCGGCCAGUUCAGCUCACUCAAGCAAACAGCUGAUAAACUGGCCGCACGGAGGAAAUGUGUAUGUGUGACUGUCUGCCUGUGACUGUGUGUGACUGUCUGCCUGUAACUGAGUGUGUGACUGUCUGUCUGUAACUGAGUGUGUAACUGUGUCUGUAACUGAGUGUGUGACUGUCUGCCUGUAAAUAUGUGUGUGGGGCUGCAGGGAUUUUGUAGAAGGGGGUGGGGGUUUUGUAUUGGGACAGGAGUCUUCAUAAGGGGGGAUAAGCAGGGGAUUUGUGGAAGGGGGUUGCGGAGG
rnacentral:lncRNA from 1 species